UACGUAGGGCGCAAGCGUUAUCCGGAAUUAUUGGGCGUAAAGAGCGUGUAGGCGGCCAGGUAGGUCUGCUGUGAAAACUCGAGGCUUAACCUCGAGAUGUCGGCGGAAACCAUCUGGCUAGAGUCCGGAAGAGGAGAGUGGAAUUCCUGGUGUAGCGGUGAAAUGCGCAGAUAUCAGGAAGAACACCCGUGGCGAAGGCGGCUCUCUGGGACGGUACUGACGCUGAGACGCGAAAGCGUGGGGAGCGAACAGG
rnacentral:rRNA from 1 species